rnacentral:lncRNA from 1 species
ACACGGGGUCUUUGUGGCACCUCGGGUCUAAAGGGGGAGAGUGUGAGGUGCGUCCGCCGGACGCGUCAUUUAAUAAAAAAAAUUGAUUUUUUUUUUAAAUUUACCUAUUUGUAUUUUUUAUUUUUUUUUAAAUUCGACCGUUCAACCCUCAAACAGCUAGUUUUAGAUUUUUUGAUUUUUUUUCUUUCUUUCUCUUCUAUAAAUAUCACACUUCCCCUACAUUAAAAUGCACUCAAUCCUCUUCUUC